CCUACGGGUGGCUGCAGUGGGGAAUAUUGGACAAUGGGCGAAAGCCUGAUCCAGCCAUGCCGCGUGUGUGAAGAAGGCCUUCGGGUUGUAAAGCACUUUCAGUGGGGAAGAAAGCCUUGGGGCUAAUACCCUCGAGGAGGGACAUCACCCACAGAAGAAGCACCGGCUAACUCCGUGCCAGCAGCCGCGGUAAUACGGAGGGUGCGAGCGUUAAUCGGAAUUACUGGGCGUAAAGCGCGCGUAGGCGGUCUGAUAAGCCGGUUGUGAAAGCCCCGGGCUCAACCUGGGAACGGCAUCCGGAACUGUCAGGCUAGAGUGCAGGAGAGGAAGGUAGAAUUCCCGGUGUAGCGGUGAAAUGCGUAGAGAUCGGGAGGAAUACCAGUGGCGAAGGCGGCCUUCUGGACUGACACUGACGCUGAGGUGCGAAAGCGUGGGUAGCAAACAGGAUUAGAUACCCGUGUAGUC
rnacentral:rRNA from 1 species